UUCGAUUAAGCCAUGCGAGUCGUGAGUCUUAGGGACUCGGCAUACUGCUCAGUAACACGUGGAUAACCUGCCCUAUCGUCUGGAAUAACCUCGGGAAACUGAGAAUAAGGCCGGAUAGUUCACAAUGCCUGGAACGGUUUGUGAAUCAAGGUAGGAUGGGUCUGCGGCGUAUCAGGUUGUAGGGGGUGUAAAGGACCCCCUAGCCUUCGACGCGUACGGGUGUUGGGAGACAUAGCCCGGAGAUGGAUUCUGAGACACGAAUCCAGACCCUACGGGGUGCAGCAGGCGCGAAAACUUCACACUGCAGGAAACUGUGAUGAGGGAACUCCUAGUGCAUGCACUAUGUGUAUGUAGAUCCUACUCUUAACAAGUAGAGGGAAAGGGCUGGGAAAGACCGGUGCCAGCCGCCGCGGUAAUACCGGCAGCUCAAGUGGUCGUCGCUUUUAUUGGGCCUAAAACGUCCGUAGCCUGUUUGGUAAAUCUGUGGGUAAAUCAAUCCGCUCAACGGAUUGAAUUCUGCAGAGACYGCCAGACUAGGGACCGGGAGAGGUGUGGGGUACUCGAGGGGUAGGGGUAAAAUCCUGUCAUCCUUCGAGGACCACCAGUUGCGAAGGCGCCACACUGGAACGGAUCCGACGGUCAGGGACGAAGCCUAGGGGCACGAACCGGAUUAGAUACCCGGGUAGUCCUAGGUGUAAACGCUGUGAACUUGGUGUCGGGGGUCCGCAAGGGGUCCCCGGUGCCGGAGUGAAGAUGUUAAGUUCACUGCCUGGGGAGUACGGUCGCAAGGCUGAAACUUAAAGGAAUUGGCGGGGGAGCACUGCAACGGGAGGAGCGUGCGGUUUAAUUGG
rnacentral:rRNA from 1 species